rnacentral:lncRNA from 10 species
CUUUCUGAUUAUGGAUCUUAAGAAAUUUCCCUGAGAGGGCUCCGCCCUGUACCCUAUACUUGGGGAAGGAAUGCUGAUGUCACAAAGCUUCCAUAAAAAUCCAAAAGGACUGGGUUCAGAGGGCUUUUGGAGAGCUGGACAUGUGGAGGCCGACAGGAAGGUGAAGAAGUCAUCUGCGUGCUGUGAGGGUGGCGCACCCCAACUCCAUGGGGACAGAAGGUCCUGCAUUUAGGACCCUUCCAGACCUCACACCUAUGUAUCUCUUCAUCUGGCUGAUUACUUAUAUCCUUUCAAAGACGCUUCUUAGUAAACUGUGCCUCCCUCACAUGGCCAGCGGAGAAGGGCCUUGCCCUACCUCUCAGACUGCAGCCCUGAGCCACUCCUUGGAGGUGAGGAGCACCAUUCACCUGAGCAGCUCCCCGCCCUGGUGUCUGAGAAAUAAAUCUGCCUUCAGUCAUACGGUUCUACCAAUCUGAGCACACGACCACCUGAUAGGGUACUGAGGAUGGCUUCUGACCUGGAGGCAUCAAGGACCUGAAGGCAGUAACCAUUUCAGAGGACAGCCACAUCCCUCAAAUUACAAACAUCUAAAAUGUCCAUUAACUGUUGAGUGGAUAUAUAAAUUCUGAUGUUUUAUAAAAUGGCAUACCCUACAUCAAUGAAGAUGAAUGAAUUACUUCUGCAUAAAACAAUAUACAUGCAUCUAACCAAUAUGACACUGAGUGAAAAAAGACAUCCAUAGAAGAGCACAGCUCACCAUUCAGGAGCAUCACCCUGGUCCAAGCCACCUUCAGCUCUCACCUAGACUAACACAGUUCUUCCUGUCUCCAUGAGCCUCCUCUCCAGUUGCUGUAUUGCAAAUAACAAUCAAAACAGCAUUUAAAAGCAAAACAACAACAGCAAACAAAUGGUAUCUAUCCAGGUCUCACUGCAUUGUCCUCACGGCACUUGGGAGCCAGGGGAACUGACACGUGAUGUUCAUACUUACUGCUAUUCUCGGAGUAACAAAAAAAAAAUUCACUUUCUUCGACCAGGAGACAUCAUGUUUUCUACCAGCAUUCUUGAAACUAUGGCAAGUUAACUAGUUAUCAGGCAUUUCCUUGGAUCUGAAUCAUCCAUCAGCAUUGCUCAGAAAUCACGUCCUUUCCUUUCAUUCUGUCUCAUACAUUUUCCAGGUUCCACGUUUUGUAUGGGAGUCAGAGUGUGAUAGUUAAUUUUAUGCAUCAACUUGGCUAGACCAAUGUGCCC